GAAUUCACUAGUGAUUCAGGCCUAACACAUGCAAGUCGAACGAGAUUUUAUUAAUUGAUUACUUCGGUAUGAUUUUUCUAAAAUCGAGUGGCGGACGGGUGAGUAACACGUGGGUAACCUGCCCUUAAGUAGGGGAUAACAUUUGGAAACAGAUGCUAAUACCGUAUAAAUCUCAGAAACACAUGUUUCUGAGCUGAAAGGCGGCUUUCGAGCUGUCGCUUUUGGAUGGACCCGCGGCGUAUUAGCUAGUUGGUGAGGUAAAGGCUCACCAAGGCAGUGAUACGUAGCCGACCUGAGAGGGUGAUCGGCCACAUUGGGACUGAGACACGGCCCAAACUCCUACGGGAGGCAGCAGUAGGGAAUCUUCCACAAUGGACGAAAGUCUGAUGGAGCAACGCCGCGUGAGUGAAGAAGGUUCUCGGAUCGUAAAAAAAUGUUGUUGGAGAAGAACACGUUUGAGAGUAACUGUUCAGACGUGAC
rnacentral:rRNA from 1 species